rnacentral:lncRNA from 1 species
UUAGCUCCCCUGCCCCAAUUGGUAGGUCCAUCUUACCCCCCCUUCUUUCCUCCUUUGCCUUUGCCAUUUCACCCCCACUCCACACACAUUCACAUUCCUCUCUCUCUCUCUACUGUCUCUCUCUCUCUCCUCUUCUGCUAUGAUAAAUACCCUGGAAACUGCAAUCACCCAGGCAAACCAGACAACACUUCACUUGGGAGUCAGCCUAGUUGAGCUCAAGCUAGCCUGAUCGAUCUCCUUUAUCUUCUUCUCCUCAUCAUCACAACAAGGUUGUCAACUCAGCUCAGCCUCAGCCUCAGCUAGCUACUAUAUAUCUGCCACCACACUGCAGCUCUAGUGUCUCCAUAGCUUUUUGCUCUGUGCUAGUCUUGG